CUUGACUGCGAGCGUGACGGCGCGAGCAGGUGCGAAAGCAGGUCAUAGUGAUCCGGUGGUUCUGAAUGGAAGGGCCAUCGCUCAACGGAUAAAAGGUACUCCGGGGAUAACAGGCUGAUACCGCCCAAGAGUUCAUAUCGACGGCGGUGUUUGGCACCUCGAUGUCGGCUCAUCACAUCCUGGGGCUGAAGUAGGUCCCAAGGGUAUGGCUGUUCGCCAUUUAAAGUGGUACGCGAGCUGGGUUUAGAACGUCGUGAGACAGUUCGGUCCCUAUCUGCCGUGGGCGCUGGAGAACUGAGGGGGGCUGCUCCUAGUACGAGAGGACCGGAGUGGACGCAUCACUGGUGUU
rnacentral:rRNA from 1 species